AGAGUGACAGCAGACACAGCAGAGAACAACUUGUCUGGAUUACUCCUUUAUUUCAGAGAAAAGCUUGAUAUAUCUUUUGUUUGUUUUUGUGCUUUAUGGAGCUGUUAGGUGUGGAGCUAAUCCACCUUCAUCAGUGUUGAACUGUGUGCUGUAGUUCUCAGUUCUUAGCUGUUUCCGUUUUGUUUGUCUGUUUCGUAUGUUUUGCAUUCUUCUGUUCACAGAUGUGUAUCCAGGCAGAAACAGGACUGUGGAUGGACAUCUCCAGAAGAGGGGAGCCAAGGAGCCUGAGGUGGGAAUGGCAGAAGAUUAUGUCAUCUACAGCCUGAUUGGCUCAUCCAUGCGUUCUAUCCUUCAUUCCACCGGAGUCUGUGUCAUGAGCCAAUCAGAUUUCAGUGGUGUGAAGAGUAAGAAGCAUGGAAUUCAUCAUCAGGAGGCAAAAACACAGCAGCAUCAGUUAUUCAAGAAAUCUAUGAUUCAGUUAACUCUGUUGUGUUCACCAUAUGUAGAAUAUUAAACUUUAUGGAAGAAUUCAUGAACAUAAAUCACAAA